rnacentral:rRNA from 1 species
GGGUGAGUAACACGUGGAUAACCUACCUAUAAGACUGGGAUAACUUCGGGAAGCCGGAGCUAAUACCGGAUAAUAUUUUGAACCGCAUGGUUCAAAAGUGAAAGACGGUCUUGCUGUCACUUAUAGAUGGAUUCGCGCUGCAUUAGCUAGUUGGUAAGGUAACGGCUUACCAAGGCAACGAUGCAUAGCCGACCUGAGAGGGUGAUCGGCCACACUGGAACUGAGACACGGUCCAG